rnacentral:rRNA from 1 species
UAUUGGGCAAUGGGCGCAAGCCUGACCCAGCAACGCCGCGUGAAGGAAGAAGGCCCUCGGGUUGUAAACUUCUUUUGUCAGGGACGAAGCAAGUGACGGUACCUGACGAAUAAGCCACGGCUAACUACGUGCCAGCAGCCGCGGUAAUACGUAGGUGGCGAGCGUUAUCCGGAAUUAUUGGGCGUAAAGAGGGAGCAGGCGGUCGUGAAGGUCCACUGGUAAAAGACCGGGGCUAAACCCCGGUAGGCCGAGGAAACCGUACGACUAGAGUACAGCAGAGGAUCGUGGAAUUCCAUGUGUAGCGGUGAAAUGCGUAGAUAUAUGGAGGAACACCAGUGGCGAAGGCGACGAUCUGGGCUGAAACAGACGCUGAGUCCCGAAAGCGUGGGGAGC